GAUGAACGCUGGCGGCGUGCUUAAUACAUGCAAGUCGAACGAAGCACCUUGGACAGAAUCCUUCGGGAGGAAGACCAUUGUGACUGAGUGGCGGACGGGUGAGUAACGCGUGGGUAACCUGCCUUGUACAGGGGGAUAACAGUUGGAAACGACUGCUAAUACCGCAUAAGCGCACAGUACCGCAUGGUACGGUGUGAAAAACUCCGGUGGUACAAGAUGGACCCGCGUCUGAUUAGCUGGUUGGUGAGGUAACGGCCCACCAAGGCGACGAUCAGUAGCCGACUUGAGAGAGUGAUCGGCCACAUUGGGACUGAGACACGGCCCAAACUCCUACGGGAGGCAGCAGUAGGGAAUAUUGCACAAUGGGGGAAACCCUGAUGCAGCGACGCCGCGUGAAGGAAGAAGUAUUUCGGUAUGUAAACUUCUAUCAGCAAGGAAGAAAAUGACGGUACUUGACUAAGAAG
rnacentral:rRNA from 1 species